UACGUAGGGGGCAAGCGUUAUCCGGAAUUACUGGGUGUAAAGGGAGCGUAGACGGUAAUGUAAGUCUGGAGUGAAAGGCGGGGGCCCAACCCCCGGACUGCUCUGGAAACUAUGUUACUGGAGUGCAGGAGAGGUAAGCGGAAUUCCUAGUGUAGCGGUGAAAUGCGUAGAUAUUAGGAGGAACACCAGUGGCGAAGGCAGCUUACUAAGCCAUAACUGACACUGAAGCACGAAAGCGUGGGGAUCAAACAGG
rnacentral:rRNA from 1 species